GACGAACGCUGGCGGCGUGCUUAACACAUGCAAGUCGAACGGAAAGGCCUCUUUCGGGGGGUACUCGAGUGGCGAACGGGUGAGUAACACGUGAGUAACCUGCCCUUGACUUUGGGAUAACUUCAUGAAACUGGGGCUAAUACCGGAUAGGAGCUCCUUCUGCAUGGUGGGGGUUGGAAAGUUUCGGCGGUUGGGGAUGGACUCGCGGCUUAUCAGCUUGUUGGUGGGGUAGUGGCUUACCAAGGCUUUGACGGGUAGCCGGCCUGAGAGGGUGACCGGCCACAUUGGGACUGAGAUACGGCCCAGACUCCUACGGGAGGCAGCAGUGGGGAAUAUUGCACAAUGGGUGGAAGCCUGGUGCAGCAACGCCGUGUGCGGGAUGACGGCCUUCGGGUUGUAAACCGCUUUCGCUCAUGACGAAGCUUUGUGUGACGGUAGUGGGUAAAGAAGCACCGGCUAACUACGUG
rnacentral:rRNA from 1 species